rnacentral:rRNA from 1 species
CAGAAGUUAAGCUUCUUCACGCCGAGAGUAGUUGGUGGGAAACUGCCUGCGAGGGUAGGAAGCUGCCACGC